UAUUACGAAGAUUACGUAUUGACUGAUUCAAACGGAUAUCCGGAAGAUAUUAGCGAGGAAUGCACUAAACCAGGAUCAAAAUUUCUUUUAAGCUUUUUCUACGAUGGAAAAUAUGAUGAUUUAUAUACAAAAAUUUUAAUGUUUGGAUUCUCACCAGAUUUCCACAUAACAGUUAACAAGAAAGAAUACAAUUACAAUGCUGUACCAAUUUCAGAUUUAUUUACUUCGGUCGAAUUCUUCCUACCGCUGAAUGAAGUGCCAGAUAAUUCAAUAGUAGAUAUGGAAUUAUUUCACGACACCAAAUUUAUAAAAAUCUGUA